rnacentral:pre_miRNA from 1 species
UGCCAGCGUCCAGUGGCAACAGUUGCCAACAGACAUUUUGAAACCUGGUUUUUCUGGCGGCAACUGUUGUGGACAGGACGCUGUAA